AAAGAUACAGGAAGGGUGAUUUCCUACCUUGGAGCAUCUGGUUUUACAUUCCUGGAUCCUCUCCAUUCCUUCCCCUUGGGCCAGAGAGAGCCCAUAGAGAGACACCAUCAAUAUAUUGGUUAAAAUCAUCUUUACUCCCAGUCCUGCGACCUAACUACAGUGCUGAAGUCUGUUCAAAGUUUGGUUGGGAGAUGUCUUCUUUCAGACAGAUGUUUAUUCCUGUUGGCACGACGAACAAAGAAUCCCGGUGGCUGUAUCUACUCCAACAGCAUGUUCCCAGAGAGCCAUGUUUCUGUGAAACAGAGUAUGUUUCAAUCCCGGAAGUGUCUCUGCAAAGCAACCCUUGCCCUAAAUUUGUCAAUAGCAUGAGAAAAGCACAGUAUGGCAUCUGAGCUGAUCAUCAUGAAUGUCAUGUAGUCAUCAGCCAAUACAGAUACAUCAGGAGAAGUUGUUUUUCUGUUGGCACCAAUCCCAUGCUGACAGGCUGCCAAGUCAACUACUUUAUCCCCCUCAUACUAAACUUUGCUCACUCUUGUUCAACUGCCCUUUGAUUAAAUCAGUUAAAUUCAA